UGUACUAAACAACAAAAAAAAGUUGGAAAAACACAGAGAAGACUGGCACAGCCCCUGCUGGAGGAUGACACAAAUUCGUGAAGUGUUCCAUAUAAUU
rnacentral:snRNA from 1 species